UACGUAGGGGGCGAGCGUUGUCCGGAGUUACUGGGCGUAAAGGGCACGCAGGCGGUUGUGUCAGUUUGCGGGGACAGUGGGUGGCUUAACUGCCCAAGGGUCGCAAAGACGGCACGACUGGAGAGCGAGAGAGGGACCUGGAACUCCGGGUGGAGCGGUGAAAUGCGUAGAGAUCCGGAAGAACACCACUGGCGUAGGCAAGGUCCUGGCUCGUAUCUGACGCUGAGGUGCGAAAGCUAGGGGAGCGAACGGG
rnacentral:rRNA from 1 species